rnacentral:rRNA from 1 species
GACGAACGCUGGCGGCGUGCUUAACACAUGCAAGUCGAACGGAAAGGCCCUGCUUGCGGGGUACUCGAGUGGCGAACGGGUGGGUAACACGUGGGUGAUCUGCCCUGCACUUCGGGAUAAGCUUGGUAAACUGGGUCUAAUACCGGAUAGGAGCCAUCUUUAGUGUGGUGGUUGGAAAGUUUUUUCGGUGUAGGAUGAGCUCGCGGCCUAUCAGCUUGUUGGUGGGGUAAUGGCCUACCAAGGCGGCGACGGGGAGCCGGCCUGCGAGGGUGUACGGCCACAUUGGACCUGAGAGACGGGCAGGACUCCGACGGGAGGCAGAAGGGGGGAAUAUUGCACAAUGGGCGCAAGCCUGAGGCAGGGACGCCGCGUGGGGGAUGAAGGCUUUCGGGUUGUAAACUCCUUUCGCUAGGGACGAAGCUUUGUUGUGACGGUACCUAGAGAAGAAGCACCGGCUAACUACGUG